UGUCAGAGAAGCUUUGAAUACCAGUUUCAUGGCCGACCAGGCUACGGUGUGACAGUUCUGUUUGUUUCUCCUUGAUGAAAAUCCGCCCCCUUGGUUCACUCUGCUUUCAUGUAAGCCAACCGCCCAUCCCCUUCAAUCACCAUUUGCAGAGGCAAUAAAGUCAUUGUUGUUUCAAAUUCAUGCAUUCUUUAUUAAUUCAUC